rnacentral:lncRNA from 1 species
ACCCGACCCUGGAGGCCAAUAUAAUAUCUCUCGACCUAAAGGUCCCUACAUCACUUGAUCCGAAUGCCUAAUAAAAGUAUCAUUGCCCGGAGGUAGAAUAAUGACCACUAGAUAAGCACAAAACCAUUGAACAUAGUCUUUCCAAACAUAGGUACAUGUAUCUCAAAACAUCUUCAUAAUAUAAGGUCAUCCAUCAUCUAUACUAUAAAGAAGUGCAAAAGAAUGUUCUAAUAGUAUACUGUCAUCCAUCAGAUAUCCUAGAAAGAAUAUGGGUUCGAUAGAAAAUAUGGUAUUCCAAAAGAUUCUAAGUAAGCCUGAUAUCUCAUAAAAUGUAAUCAUUAAUUCAUGCUUUUCAUGUAUGCAUUUCUACUAUUAAAACAUGCAUUUUAGAAGGGGUCCACUCAUAGAUACUCUGUUGUCGUAGAGCCGUACGAAAUAUGAAUGAUGGAUUCGCGGUUAAUAAUUGCACCUAAGCACAUAAAGGGUACAAUUAAUAAAACUUUAUUCAAACGAUUGAAUUUGAGAAAACGAAUAUAAAAACCAGGUCCAGGACGUUGAAAUUAGCAUAGAAGGGGUUUCAGAUGAAACCCAAAAAGUUAACGGUCAACGUUGACCGAUCAAAGUCAACGGUCAACGUUGACCAAAUCAACGGCCAAUGUUGACUGGUUCAGUCAAUGGGCCAUGGGUCAAACCGGGUCAAAGGGUUUUAGGUUAGACUGGGUUGGGCCUAGGGUUUAAGGUAAACCGGAUGGUUCGGCCUUAAGGCCGGUUCCUUUGGGUUCUAACACAUGGGCUUGGGCUUGGAAGCCCGGCCAGGGUUUAGGGUUAAAAGAGUCUACGGGCCGAAGGCCUUAACAGAAAUGGCCCAAGGGCCUUUGGGUUUUAAAAAUUAAAUAAUUAAAUAAAUCAAUAAAACAAAAGGGUUGGGUUGGAUUUUAAAUAGGCUUAGGGCUCGAGUUCUAUACACAGUCCAAAGUGCCUAGGUUCAUUGGACUUGGGUCACUGACCCAUUCCUUUCCGAGGAAUGAGGCCAGAGCCUUCCGUGCUCCGGUCGUCGGCAAAACUCCCAUAUGCCCUACGAACUAACUAGGAAAUCGAAGGUAAAGACAAAAGGAAGAGGUUGCUACCUGUGAUUAGACGUGAAAUGGCUGAAGGUGGUCGGACCUGAGCUCGCACACCCACGGUUCGCCGAACCUGGGUUGGGUGUCUUCUGGGUGCCCCGGAGCUUCAUGGAGGGGAGGGAGGAAGAAAGAGUGUUACCGGUAGUAGUGGUGGUGCUGUGCCGUUGUCGGGGUGCACGAAUUUGGGUUGGUGUGUUGAUUGGAAAAAGGAAUGAGAAGGAGAGUGAGAGAGAGAGUUGAGAGCUAAGAGAGUGAGAGAUCCGAGAGAGCUUUGGGGAAGGAGAGAGAGAGAGGUGUAGAGUUUAUGGGCUGCCACAUGGCAGUGUGAUGGAGAAAGAAAAUCUAGAUGGAGGGUCCGGAUCAAAUUAGGAUAAGGGACCAAAUUGCAAGAUUCUAUAAACUUUUAGGGAAAUUGUUAAAUUACAAACUAAAUUUAGGGAGGGGUUUUACAUUGACUAUCGAGCCUCGUAGAAUCUUCAAUCUAGUUUCAAAUUUCAUUUUGUUUACUUCUAAGGUGUUCGUAUCAACACAUACUACUGGAAUAUGAUAAGAAAAAAGACAAAUAUAAAACAAGCUCAAAAGUCCAUGUAUGACUCCGCUUUGCCUAGAGACAUUUUCAUUUUUUUGUAGAUUUGCAAAAUUUUACAUAAAAAAUUAGGAACACGUCGUAACAAUUACAAAUGCGAAAUCAAAUAGUGAAAUUUGAGGAUGGGAUUUCAUAGUAUAAAAGUGAUUCCAGCUCUUGAGUUCAAUAUUGAACUCAUGAGUUUGAAUUCUAUACAAUAAAUGGGAACCCACUUUUUAGGAGAGUAAAGAGAAUAACCAAUAAGAGUAUAAAUUAGAUGAGUGAGACGAUUAAUAGAUAGAACUCAACCUUAUAAAACUCACUCUCUUGUAGAUAUUGUGUCGUAGGAAUCAAACUUAAAGUGCUAGAUUCUUAUAAUAAGAGUAAAACUUACCUAAACCACUGUGGAAGAAGUAUUGAAUUAGGGUGGCAGGGAUGAUUGUAGGGAGUUAUGGUAAUGUAAUUGUGGUGGAUGGUCGGUCGG